UCUCGAACCACUUUUUCUCGACAAUUUGUUUUCGUCAACUGGACCGAGUCUUUCGCACGUGCGUAAUAAUGAAACCCCAAGAGGUAAUGCAUUAUGAUGUUACAACAUUGCGAUGUUACAACAUUAAUGAAACGUUAUCUUGUAGACUGUUUUCGAGAAAACAUCUUAUUUUUAUUCAACAAUAACUGUUAUUUACGUAAUUGUUUACAAGUACUGCCUCAUCUUCGAUUUCAAUGAAAUUAGGCUUCUACGCAUUUUUGCGUAAAAUGAAAGAAAAUAUAACAGAAAAAUGUGCGGGACUGCUCUGCAAAGGAGAUAUUAAGCGUUAAAGUUGAUUACUAUCACUGACGAGAUACUAUUAAAGACGGUCGGCGUUUAUGAAAUUGCGUGGCUGUUAAUAUUUAAGUGAUUGAGAUUUAUUCCUAUUCCUCUAUUAUGAAAUACCGAGUUUAUUUUGGAUAAAUGCUACAAAUCUAUGGGCAAAAUUAAAAAAAAAAAAAUAAUAGAUCAUU
rnacentral:misc_RNA from 1 species